GAUGAACGCUGGCGGCGUGCCUAAUACAUGCAAGUCGAACGAACAGACGAGAAGCUUGCUUCUCUGAUGUUAGCGGCGGACGGGUGAGUAACACGUGGGUAACCUACCUAUAAGACUGGGAUAACUCCGGGAAACCGGGGCUAAUACCGGAUAAUAUUUUGAACCGCAUGGUUCGAUAGUGAAAGACGGUUUCGGCUGUCACUUAUAGAUGGACCCGCGCCGUAUUAGCUAGUUGGUAAGGUAACGGCUUACCAAGGCGACGAUACGUAGCCGACCUGAGAGGGUGAUCGGCCACACUGGAACUGAGACACGGUCCAGACUCCUACGGGAGGCAGCAGUAGGGAAUCUUCCGCAAUGGGCGAAAGCCUGACGGAGCAACGCCGCGUGAGUGAUGAAGGUCUUCGGAUCGUAAAACUCUGUUGUUAGGGAAGAACAAAUUUGUUAGUAACUGAACAAGUCUUGACGGUACCUAACCAGAAAGCCACGGCUAACUACGUGCCAGCCGCCGCCUGUAA
rnacentral:rRNA from 1 species